AGUGAACGCCGGCGGUAGGCCUAACACAUGCAAGUCGAACGGCAGCACAGUAAGAGCUUGCUCUUACGGGUGGCGAGUGGCGGACGGGUGAGGAAUACAUCGGAAUCUACUUUUUCGUGGGGGAUAACGUAGGGAAACUUACGCUAAUACCGCAUACGACCUACGGGUGAAAGCAGGGGAUCUUCGGACCUUGCGCGAUUGAAUGAGCCGAUGUCGGAUUAGCUAGUUGGCGGGGUAAGGGCCCACCAAGGCGACGAUCCGUAGCUGGUCUGAGAGGAUGAUCAGCCACACUGGAACUGAGACACGGUCCAGACUCCUACGGGAGGCAGCAGUGGGGAAUAUUGGACAAUGGGCGCAAGCCUGAUCCAGCCAUACCGCGUGGGUGAAGAAGGCCUUCGGGUUGUAAAGCCCUUUUGUUGGGAAAGAAAAGCAGCAGGUUAAUACCCCGCUGUUCUGACGGUACCCAAAGAAUAAGCACCGGCUAACUUCGU
rnacentral:rRNA from 1 species